UCGGAUUGGAAGUCACACAAAGUGUAACAUCCCAAAAAUACAGGCCAAAAAUUUCGUUUUGAUUAAGUUAUAAUAUAAAACCAUCAGUAAUAAAACAUUCAUAUUCAUAUCUCAUGUCAAAACCAAAGUAGAAAUAAUCAAACGUGUUAUCAUAAAACAAUAUCAUAGUGUAAUCCCAAAGAUCUCAUGUGCGGAAAACCAUAGUGUGAUGCGCUGCGAUCAAGCCGACUCCUUUCCUUUAGACACGAAGUACCUAAAACCAAAACUGAAAACUGUAAGCACGAAGCUUAGUGAGUUCCCCCAUCAUACCACAUACCAUGAAAGCAUACAAAAUACAGCUAGGAGAUACGGGCCUUGCCCACACUCUGCUAGCCAGGAGAUACGGGCCUAGCCCACUCCACUAUCUGGGAGGUACGGGCCUCGCCCACACUCCACUCUCGGAGAGAUACGGGCCUUGCCCACACUCAACCGCUAACCCAUAAUAUACAAGUAUCACACAGACAACAAGUAUAGACAACUCUAUUAUACUGGCAUAUAUCAUAAUCAACUCAACCAAGAGAUACGGGCUCGGCCCACACUCUAAUACUAACAUCUCGUCUAUACGGGCCGGCCUUGGUGCCUUAGACCCAUUCCUACUGGAAGGAAAACUCACCUCACACUGCUGAAGUCCCGAAGACACAAUCCCUCACUUGCUGAAGUCCUGCAGACUCGACCCCAGCUGCUGGCUGACAGAUUCCCGAACUGUCAACACCAAAAUAACACCCAAUUAAUAAUUGGGUCCCAAUACAUAAUCAUACGUAUAUUCUUUGGGUAAUUACUACAUUACCCCUAGCUUGGCUUAUUCAAGCCCAAGGCCCAAUCCAUAGGCCCAAACUCGACUAGGAAUCAAAUCUCAACACAUGGCCCAAUUUUCCAAAUUGGGCCUAGGCCUAUACAUGGUCUCAUUCUAAGGCCCAACAUCAUAUAAUCAUUAAGGCCCAAACUAUGGCCCAUCUAUGGCCCAAUUUUCCAAAUUGGGCCCAAGCCCUCACAUGGGCCUUACCCUAGGCCCAUUAAAUUACUCUAGACCAUUUGCUUGAUCUUGGAUAGCCCAUUUAAUAACCCAAUCAUCAAGGCCCAACAGAAAGGCCCAACAAUAAACCCAAGUGAAAUUAGGGUUUCACAUAAAAUGAUGAUUAGGGUUAAGUUUCCUACUUAACCCAUUAAGGACUUAAUCCAUUAAGUCCAUUAUCGCUUAGAUUAAUCUUUGCCAAAGUUUAUUAUUUAAUAUCUCAAGUUAUUAAAUAAUUCUCGUGUGCGUCCCGAUUAAUUCUCAAAAAUUAGGGUUUAAUUGGCAUUAGUGUUUUCCAACCCAAAGACAAACCCAUUUAUUAACUUGUUGGCCUUUUAUGUCAAUUAGGGCUUUAUUGGGCCUAUUAAGCCCACUAAAAUAUUAUUAAGCCCAUUAGGGUUUUAUUGGGUCCAAUAGAGUCCAUUAAGCUUCAUUAGGCCCAUUAGAGCUCCUUUAAGCCCAUUAGGGUUUCAGUCCCGUGUCCAAACAUCCCAACCAAAUCACAACACAACUAAGCACACCGCCACCCGACACGGCGGCCGGUGGCGGCAGCACCCUAAGGUGGUGGUUUUCCAUUUUCUUUUCAUUACUCUUCUUUUUGUUACAUUUUACAACGCUAAAACCCCAAAUAAUCACACACNNNNNNNNNNNNNNNNNNNNNNNNNNNNNNNNNNNNNNNNNNNCGGUGGCAGCCACCACCUCACGGUGGUGGUGGUGCCUUGAACCUAGAAUUCCGGCCAAACACACACUAAGGAAAUAAACACACACACGAAAUUAACCCAUACAUUAGCAUACACAACCGCUAUUGUGGUCCUUGAGGUGGCAGCCACCAUGGCCGGAUGCCAUAGUGGUUCUUCACAGCAACUAUUCGACAGAACCCACACACACACGAAAAUUAGCACAAUACAACAACAUCCAAACCCGCUUGGGGACUACACCAGCCACACCCUCACGUCCUUGCUCGGAGAUAAACACAACCACCCACCUCACGGUGGUGUACGGAGGAGACAACGGCACUAGAAGGCGGCUACAAUGACAUCUAACGGCAGUGGCUAGCGGUCACGAAUAGGAAAUAGCAACAGGAGAACGGGUGAGGAGGAUGAGCAGAGACCACCUUGGACUGAAGCACCAUUGACCACCGGCUAGCGGCGCCUCCGUCUUCAACUGUGGGAGUGCGAGGGGUCGACAACGAAACAGUAGCGAGACAUGUCUUCGCCGGCAGCAAAGCCACGAUGGCUUCUUCGAUGGUGAGGCAGCAGGCGGCGCCAUUUGAGACUCUAUCUGAUCGUCGGCGGCGGAUAAGGAGCAUCAGAAUGAGGUGGCGCCGGAGAUGGGAGAUAUAAGGGUGAGGGGGUGACGGCUAUAAUAUGAUUUAGG
rnacentral:lncRNA from 1 species